rnacentral:tmRNA from 1 species
GGGCUUGUAAUGGUUUCGACAGGGAUCAUGAAGCUGGAGAAGCGAGUCGCACGGGAUGCGUCAAAUUCCAAAAUUAAAAUUAAACGCUGAAGAUAAUUUAGCGGUUGCAGCCUAACAGCUGCAACUUGCUGCCCAUGAUGGCAGCAGUCUGACCUAGAGCACUCACACUUUAGGACUCAGGCUUCGACUAUGUGAGAAACGACACAGACAAAGCUUUGAGUCUGUGGGCGUAUGAUGAAGCUACUAAAACCGGAACUGUGCCUACGCAGGUCUGGCGGAGGGAAUGUCAAAACAUAGGAUACACUCGUAGAAGGACAGGGGAUUGGUUUUUGGACACGGGUUCGACUCCCGUCAGGUCCACUC